AUUGAACGCUGGCGGCAUGCCUUACACAUGCAAGUCGAACGGCAGCAUGGAGGAGCUUGCUCCUCUGAUGGCGAGUGGCGAACGGGUGAGUAAAGCAUCGGAACGUACCGUGUAGUGGGGGAUAACGUAGCGAAAGUUACGCUAAUACCGCAUACGCACUGAGGUGGAAAGCAGGAGAUCGCAAGACCUUGCGCUAUACGAGCGGCCGAUGUCAGAUUAGCUAGUUGGUAGGGUAAAGGCCUACCAAGGCGACGAUCUGUAGCGGGUCUGAGAGGAUGAUCCGCCACACUGGGACUGAGACACGGCCCAGACUCCUACGGGAGGCAGCAGUGGGGAAUUUUGGACAAUGGGGGAAACCCUGAUCCAGCCAUGCCGCGUGAGUGAAGAAGGCCUUCGGGUUGUAAAGCUCUUUCGGCUGGGAAGAAAUCGCACAGGCUAAUACUCUGUGUGGAUGACGGUACCAGCAUAAGAAGCACCGGCUAACUACGUGCCAGCCGCCGCCGUAACAC
rnacentral:rRNA from 1 species